AACGAACGCUGGCGGCAUGCCUAACACAUGCAAGUCGAACGAGACCUUCGGGUCUAGUGGCGCACGGGUGCGUAACGCGUGGGAACCUGCCCUUAGGUUCGGAAUAACUCCCCGAAAGGGGUGCUAUUACCGGAUAAUGUCUUCGGACCAAAGAUUUAUCGCCUUUGGAUGGGCCCGCGUUGGAUUAGCUAGUUGGUAGGGUAAAAGCCUACCAAGGCGACGAUCCAUAGCUGGUCUGAGAGGAUGAUCAGCCACACUGGGACUGAGACACGGCCCAGACUCCUACGGGAAGCAGCAGUGGGGAAUAUUGGACAAUGGGCGAAAGCCUGAUCCAGCAAUGCCGCGUGAGUGAUGAAGGCCUUAGGGUUGUAAAGCUCUUUUACCCGGGAUGAUAAUGACAGUACCGGGAGAAUAAGCUCCGGCUAACUCCGUG
rnacentral:rRNA from 1 species